GUGCUCACUUAGGCAGCACAUAUACUAAAAUUGGGACAACACAGAUAUUAGCACGGGCCCUGAGCAAAGAUGACAUACAAAUUCGUGAAGCAUUCUGUUUGUUU